AGAGCUACUUGAAUGGUAUAUUUUAUAUUUAUCCCAUCUAUUUAAAUUAAAUAGAAUUCUAAUCAAACUUCGAUGGAAAGUCGAUCUGGACUCUAUAUAAAGAGGUAUUAGUCCUUCCACAUUCUCAUAUGCAUUCUAGUGAAGAAUUAUCAUCAGUUGCACACCAUAAAGGAAAGUGCCUGAAAUAAGAAGAGAAACCAAGUUACCUGAGUUCGGUUGGUGAUGUUCAUAUCGGUACCGAACUUUUCGCUUACAAGGAUUAAUUAAGAAUUUCUUCGCUAUAGCGCUCUGUAAGUUAUGUUAUUUUAUUUGUGAUCCUGAAUUUUGGUAUGUAUUUAUUUUAUUGUUGUUAUAUAUACCUAUAAAGAUUUAUCAAUUGGUAUCAGACCCAUGAUUGAUAAAU
rnacentral:lncRNA from 1 species